rnacentral:rRNA from 1 species
GACGAACGCUGGCGGCGUGCUUAACACAUGCAAGUCGAACGGAAAGGCCCUGCUUUUGUGGGGUGCUCGAGUGGCGAACGGGUGAGUAACACGUGAGUAACCUGCCCUUGACUUUGGGAUAACUUCAGGAAACUGGGGCUAAUACCGGAUAGGAGCUCCUGCUGCAUGGUGGGGGUGGGAAAGUUUCGGCGGUUGGGGAUGGACUCGCGGCUUAUCAGCUUGUUGGUGGGGUAGUGGCUGACCAAGGCUUUGACGGGUAGCCGGCCUGAGAGGGUGACCGGCCACAUUGGGACUGAGAUACGGCCCAGACUCCUCCGGGAGGCAGCAGUGGGGAAUAUUGCACAAUGGGCGGAAGCCUGAUGCAGCAACGCCGCGUGCGGGAUGACGGCCUUCGGGUUGUAAACCGCUUUCGCCUGUGCCGAAGCGUGAGUGACGGUAAUGGGUAAAGAAGCACCGGCUAACUACGUG